UGGGGAAUAUUGCACAAUGGGCGAAAGCCUGAUGCAGCGACGCCGCGUGAGGGAUGACGGCCUUCGGGUUGNAAACCUCUUUCAGCAGGGAAGAAGCGAAAGUGACGGUACCUGCAGAAGAAGCGCCGGCUAACUACGUGCCAGCAGCCGCGGUAAUACGUAGGGCGCAAGCGUUGUCCGGAAUUAUUGGGCGUAAAGAGCUCGUAGGCGGUUAGUCGCGUCUGCUGUGAAAACUCGAGGGCUCAACCUCGGGCUUGCAGUGGGUACGGGCUGACUAGAGUGCGUAGGGGUGACUGGAAUUCCUGGUGUAGCGGUGGAAUGCGCAGAUAUCAGGAGGAACACCGAUGGCGAAGGCAGGUCACUGGGCCGCAACUGACGCUGAGGAGCGAAAGCAUGGGGNGCGAACAGGAUUAGAUACCCUGGUAGUCCAUGCCGUAAACGUUGGGCACUAGGUGUGGGGU
rnacentral:rRNA from 1 species